rnacentral:rRNA from 1 species
CCUACGGGUGGCAGCAGUGAGGAAUAUUGGUCAAUGGACGGGAGUCUGAACCAGCCAAGUCGCGUGAGGGAAGACGGCCCUAUGGGUUGUAAACUUCUUUUAUAUGGGAAUAAAGUGUUGGACGUGACCUGUUUUGUAUGUACCUUAUGAAUAAGGAUCGGCUAACUCCGUGCCAGCAGCCGCGGUAAUACGGAGGAUCCGAGCGUUAUCCGGAUUUAUUGGGUUUAAAGGGUGCGUAGGCGGAUUGUUAAGUCAGUUGUGAAAGUUUGGGGCUCAACCGUAAAAUUGCAGUUGAAACUGGGAGGCUUGAGUACGGUAGAGGUAGGCGGAAUGCGUGGUGUAGCGGUGAAAUGCUUAGAUAUCACGCAGAACUCCGAGUGCGAAGGCAGCUUACUGGACUGCAACUGACGCUGAGGCUCGAAAGCGUGGGGAUCAAACAGGAGUAGAUACCCGAGUAGUC